rnacentral:rRNA from 1 species
AGGACUAACGCUGGCGGCGUGCCUAACACAUGCAAGUCGAACGAGGGGUAGCAAUACCCCUAGUGGCAGACGGGUGAGUAACACGUAGUCAACCUACCUCUUAAUGGGGGAUAACUAGCCGAAAGGUUAGCUAAUACCGCAUACGAUCGUCGAGUGGCAUCACACGACGAUGAAAGGAGCAAUCCGUUGAGAGAGGGGACUGCGUCCCAUUAGUUAGUUGGUGGGGUAAUGGCCUACCAAGACUCCGAUGGGUAGCUGGCUUGAGAGAGCGACCAGCCACACUGGAACUGAGACACGGUCCAGACUCCUACGGGAGGCAGCAGUGAGGAAUUUUCCGCAAUGGGGGAAACCCUGACGGAGCGACGCCGCGUGUGGGAAGAAGGCCUUCGGGUCGUAAACCACUGUCGAGGGGGACGAUAUUGACGGUACCCCUGGAGGAAGCCCCGGCGUACUACGUGCCAGCAGCCGC